rnacentral:rRNA from 1 species
UACGUAGGGUCCGAGCGUUGUCCGGAAUUAUUGGGCGUAAAGAGCUCGUAGGCGGUCUGUCGCGUCGAUCGUGAAAACUUGGGGCUUAACCCUGAGCUUGCGGUCGAUACGGGCAUGACUGGAGUUCGGCAGGGGAGACUGGAAUUCCUGGUGUAGUGGUGAAAUGCGCAGAUAUCAGGAGGAACACCGGUGGCGAAGGCGCCACUCUGGGCCGGUACUGACGCUGAGGAGCGAAAGCGUGGGUAGCAAACAGG